UGCAGCUGUCCUGGGAAGUGCCUCCAGUGCCCUUGUCUUUGCUGAUCUUCACAUUCCCCUACACACUCUGUACUGGAGCAACUUGCUGUCCUUCAGAAAUAAACCCUUCCACUGCCCCCCUGCAGCUUUGAUGCAUUCAGUACCAUGGGGCAGUUUUUCCAGAUGCAGCUGCCCAUGGCUACUGGCCAUGGCUCCUGCAUUGGGUGACAGAGUGGAGAGGAAGCUGAAGGAGCAGCUAUGGUCAGCCCAAAGCCUGUUCCUUGCAUUACCAACCCUUCCACUCUGCAAAUCAAAUCGUCUCGCGGAGCCUCUCACAGGCUUUGGUUUCCUUUGCUGAUGCCUUUUCAUUUCCAUGUUUGUUCUAUUCCCGUUCCCCAAUGAAGGUUUCUUCUGAGUGCUGGGAUGAAAGGCCCCAGGAUUUCCAAAGCAGGAACACAGCCCUAUGGCAGAAAACUCAGCUCCAGUGCUGGUCAGGUCCAGAACAGGCAGUGCCGUCACCCUGGGUCACUCUGGUGGGUCUGUUGGAAGAGUUGAUCUCAGGCAGAAGCUCCAGCCAUUCUCAGCUGAAUGCCUUGGGCUCAGGCGCAUGAGGACAUGCCAAGUCCUUCUCUUCCCCUCCCUCCUAAGCUCACCCCGAUUUUGUCUUGUUGUUGCCUCCCCAGGUGACUGUGUUUGCUGCUGGCCAAGGAAGCCCAAGGAGGGAAAAUGUCUCCCUGGCCCUGGGGAUUGGCCAAAGGCUCAACAUGUGAGCAAGACAUGGUAUUUAUGCAGCAGAAUGAGUGUGCAACGCUGAUCAGUAGGGUGAGACAGUGGUGAUGCCCUUAGAGCCCUCACCUUGGAAAGGCAGAAGGUCUGGGCUGCAGGGAAACAUGGGUCACAGCUGCAGAAGGGAGGAGCCAAGCACAAGCAUUGCAGCUGUGCUGGGAACAAACAUUUUCUCCUCCCCAUUUCAUUCUCUGCUCUCCUUGCAGAGUCUUUGAUAGCAGCUCUGCUCUCUGAAGUCUCUGAGGGGAUUCGUGGGGGUUUCUCAGUCUUUCUCACUCCUGCAGGAUGAGUGGUCACAGCAGGCGCCUCACAUAUCUCCUCCUCACUGCCUUCCUGAGGCAGCCACUGGGCACCCUGGGGCAGAUCACCGUCACCCAGCAAGAAGGACCAGUCACACUGAAACAGGGAGACACCUUUCAAACAAACUGCACCUACCAGACAUCGAUGCCUCCAUAUCUGUUCUGGUACCAGCAGAGGAAAGGCCAGGCUCCCCAGCUGGUCUCCUAUCAGGCAGGAACUGGCUCCAAGCGGAACGGCCGUUUCACCACAUCCCUGAACCCCACAGAGAAAUCCAGCCUCCUGCAGCUGGAGGAAGUCGAAGGCUCUGACAGCGCCGUGUACCUCUGUGCUGUGCAGGACACGCUGGUGCAGGAGCUGCCUGGGCUGGGCAAAAACCUGGGGCAGGGAGGGGCUGGGGCUGGCAAGGCUGAGCCUGGGGGAAGGCUUUAUUCUGUGCUGCUUCUGCCCAAAGGCUUUGCAGAGGUGGCUUUUGGUAUCCAUCAGGCAGCAACCUGAGAAAUGGGCAACUUUUCCCUGCUGCUCUCUUCUGGCCAUGGCCACAGGACUGUGGGAUUGUGAGGAGAGUUGAACAUGAAGCAGAAAAAUGAAACGUGAAGCAGAAGAUAGGGAACAUUCCAACGACUGCUUCUUUUCCACUCCUGAGAAUGUUGGCAACUCAGCGGUGAGGGAUGAUGCCCAAACAAGUGGGCCCAAAGCGCGUUUGCUGCUGGGUUUUGUCCCAGUCCUGCCUAACACGGCCCUCGGGAGAAAUUGUGGACAGUUUUGCCUCAUCCCCUCUCUGUGUACGCUCUGAGCACAAUGCCAUAGCAAUGCCUGGGCCA